GGGGAUUGUUCUACAUAGGAGUUGAAGAAUUAGGUUUUAAUUUCAAGGAACUCUUGUAAACACAUUGUAUUCAACAUUUGUUACUUAGUGGAUGACCUUGGUGAAGGUGUACUUCAUCAAGAAGAGUAGACGUAGCUCUAGCGAGGACGAGAAAGAGAGAACUAUUAUAAAAAUAUGGGUGUUAUCUCUCUUUUUGCCCAUCCUCUUUACUUUU
rnacentral:lncRNA from 1 species